rnacentral:tRNA from 1 species
GGGGGUAUAGCUCAGUGCUAGAGCAUGUGCUUAGCAUACUCAGGUCCUGGGUUCAGUCCCCAGUACCUCCA